GGACACUUUUAUAUUAGUACGGGAACUUAUUGGGUUUACGAAUUGGAGGGGCAUUGUUGUAAAAUCAAGCUGGUGUGGUGGUCUCUUAGGUUUCCCGCAUCCUUCUCUGUUCACAAUUCUUCGCCUGCCGCUACUUCCGGUUAAAAAGAAACCUUCCUCCCCUUGAUUUUGAUGGGAAUUAAUUUGCAUUUACUGGCUUGCUGCGUGCUUGCGGAGCCCUAAUCCUCUCUGAUAUUGUUCUCCUUUGGCUUUUUGCCUUACAGGUGACGUGCUGCAAUGGCCGAUUUUGUUCCACUAAGUACUCGUUUGGGACCUAUUCCUACAGUGGCGCUCUGCUAUACUGCUGCCAUCUUCUUGAACGCUGGGGAGAAACUUGUGACAAUGAAGUGGAAGGAGUGGAAGGAAGCCAAAAG